UACGGGGGGGGCAAGCGUUGUUCGGAAUUACUGGGCGUAAAGGGCUCGUAGGCGGCCAACUAAGUCAGACGUGAAAUCCCUCGGCUUAACCGGGGAACUGCGUCUGAUACUGGAUGGCUUGAGUUUGGGAGAGGGAUGCGGAAUUCCAGGUGUAGCGGUGAAAUGCGUAGAUAUUGGGAAGAACACCGGUGGCGAAGGCGGCGACCUGGUCCGUGACUGACGCUGAGGCGCGAAAGCGUGGGGAGCAAACAGG
rnacentral:rRNA from 1 species